UUCUUCAUUAUGAUCUUGUACUGUGUGUUUGGAUAGCUGGUUGAGGUUUUAAAUUUCAUCACUGCCAACAGAAUGUGUCUAGUUGGUGCCUGAGGUGUUAUGAUCUAGCAUGUGGUGCGACACUUUUUACAGCAUGCUAAAUCUAAGUUUUCUUUUUUCUGCUGAGUAAAACCUUGCAUUACUGAGCCCUGAGCAUUUGCAGUGUUAAAAAAAUUAAAUGUUGAUAUUUACAGUUUAUGUAAUUGUGAACUUUAUAACAAGUUUUAACCUAGUUAUUACACUUCCAAAAUAUAUUCUGGGAGAAAUCCUGAGAACAAUGUCUGACCACAUCUGAUUUAUUCAAUGCACAAUGGCUCAAGUUUACUCGUCAGGCUUAAACUGUAGUUUAUAUGAAACAAGCAAAGCAUCAUUUGACAGCUAAAUGUGAUCUUGUUAAAACCGUACUCAGCAAAUGACUGUAGGUUUGGAGGAAGCUUAAGUAUUUUCAGUCUUACAACUCACCCCACACAGAGACUCAAUUAUAAAAUUGGACCAAUUAUGAUUUUAAAAAAACAAACACGAAUUUAACCAAAUUAAUCUUGAUGCUGUAAUGUACCUUUUGAAAAGACAUGUAGAGAAAACAUAUGUAGCUGUAAUUAAAUGUAAUGAGAUGUUUAUAUAAAACCAAAACCAAAUGCCAGAAAAAAAUUGUUAAUUAAUACACUAAUUAAUUAAAUACCUAAUUUGCAUAAUAUAAACAUAAAUUAAGGUAAUUAUUGCACAGCAUUUAAGCAGCCUUUUGUUCUUCCUGUCUUGCUCUGUGCAGCUUCAUGGCUGUCAUGUUAUACACAGGAAGCAGAGCUGUUUGACUGGAUGUUUUCCCAGAAGGAUUACCAUUUCAGUGUGUAUUUCCAUUUUAGUGUAUUUCCACAGAUAGAUGGGGUUGUUGUGGUUGUCCUGAUGCUGUUGUUAAAAAGCAGAGUUUGUCCUUGUUUAGGUGUCCAUUCAUUCUCCUUACUAGAAGACUAGUAAUAAUUUGCUGCUCGUCUAUCUGUCAGUGGGACAUCUCAAUACUUUAUGAACACAUUUGCUUUAAAUUUGUUGGACAGAUCAGCCAUGAGCCCGAGAACAACUGAUUAUGUGCUGAACUGAAUCAGGGACAGUUAUUGUUUUUGGCCAAAUUGGAAAAAUAGUCAUGUGUUUAUGUUUGCAAGGUAAAGAAAUACGUUUAAUUUAAAAGAAUUGUUUGACAUUUUGGAAAAUACGCUUAUUUGCUUUCUGGCAGAGUUACAUGAAAAGAUAGAUACGUCUCAUAUCUGUCCGUUAAAUAUAAAGCUAAAGUCAGCAUUUAGUUAGCUUAGCUUAGCAUACAGACUGGACACACACAACUUGUCAUUUUUACACUUUGUUUUUAGUUUUUGGUUGCCGAAUUUUCCACUCUUGUGCCAAGCUAAGCUAACCCGCUAUUGGCUGUAGCCUUAUAUAUUAUGAGAAUGGUAUCGGUCUUGUCAUCUAACUCUCUGCCAGACAGCGAUUAAGCAUAUUUCCCCUGAAAUGUAGAACUAUUCCUUUAAAAUCCUGUUUUUGACUGUAACAGAAAGACAAGAAAAUUGUUUAGCAUUUACCCUCCAGGCAAGUUCUAGUUUCAAUAGAGCUAACUUUAAUAGGCAGGGACAGCUGUUUACAAUAAACACAGUUAUUAGGUAUCAUGUACACAGUUGUUAUGUGAUACUUAUAAUCAUUGGUCCUUUGUGAAACCAGUUUUAUCUCCUAUAAAAGGCCAAGUAGAGGACACAGUCUUUAUAAAGUAAAGUCAUCACCCUUCCUCUUCAGUACUGUAAUAAAAAUCGACUAGAAAUCUCUCAGCGUACGUGCAUAAAAUUGUUAAUGUGGGUCUGUGCACAUCAUCAUCUCUCCCCUCGCAUUCUCACUUUUUAUUUCCAGGCCUCCUUUUUGAAGUUGACCAUUGAGAAUAGACAUCAGCAGAGAUACUGAAGGGGAAGAGAGUGGGUGUAUGUUGUGUAGAGUUACUCAGCAGUCAGCAUCUUACUCCUCAUCUAGUUCACCAUCUUCCUCCAGAUUUUCACACAUAUAUCGUUACCUUUUUUUUUUUUUUAAAUCUCAGUCAUGAUACUGUCAUUUGAAAUGUUAAAAUUAUGUCCUCAUUCUCAAUUUUCUUUUUCUAAUAUUACACUGGCCCUGAUGCAGUAUUCUAUGUUUUAGGUCCACCACUUUGGUCCAGACUGACAUAUUGGACUCUUACUUUCUUUGAGGAAAUACAAACAGGGCAGCCCUCCAUUUUACAUGCAAGCAACCAUUUCAUUGAAACUGCAAUCGCUUGUUACUUUUUAAGACAAGGAAAUGAAUCACCCAUCCUGAAAAAGGAGGUAAUCCCCGACUGUCAACACUCCCUUCCUUUCUGCACCACGGCAAGGGCAAAGGGUUUAUUUUAGCUACAUCCCAGCUGUAGCUUUUUAAUCUAAAACAUUUAUGAUGUUACACAGUCCAGAGAGAGAUGUUAAAGUGAGCCACAGAAACUCUCCACUGGCAAAAAAGCUUGUAUACAGACGUGUUUAUGGCUAAUCGCUACUGAAUCAUAUGCAGAAGCAGUUUAGCAUUUUAGAGCUAUUUACUGAAUAUUAUUUAGUAAUACUCAACAACAUGUAUGCUGUAUUAAUUCUUCUAAUAUGCAGUAUCAUGCUUUUCAGAUAGGGAUAAAAGUUUAGGAGGCCAAAUGAUAUAUUAAAGUUAACACCUAAUUCUCUGUUUUUAUUUAUAUAUGUGUACAUGGAGAAAUAUGUGUGUUUCAGAGUUAUUCAUACACUUUAAAAUGAGUGGCGAAAUAUCUGAUUACACCUACCUGAUUUUAUCAGCAUGCUAACGUUAGCUUUGUCAGUUAGUUCAAUUAGCUACAUAGCAGUUACACCAAGCAGUUAGUAUGUGUAGUGGCUACAUAAUAUUUAGUAAUAACUAAUGUCUAUGUGUGAGAGCGUACAUGGAGAAAUGUAUGUGUGUGUUUCAGAGUUAGUAGUAUUCAUACAGUUUUAGAAUGAGUGGAAAAUAUCUGCACUAACGUGCCUGAUGUUAUUAGCAAGCUACCAUUAGCUUUGUCAGUUAGUUCAGUUAGCUACAUAGCAGUUACAAUUUAACAUUUAGUACAAAUAUUAAGUAACAACUAAUCUCUACGUAUGUACGUGGAGAAAUGUACUAUAUAUUUGUGUUUCAGAGUAUGUAGUAUUCAUACAGUUUAGAAUUAUUGGGAAAUAUCCAACUAGCUAACCUAACCUGGCAUUCAUUCUGUUUAAUGUUAUUAGCAGUAGGCGAUAUGAGGGGGGAUGCCAUCCCCCUUGUUUGCAAAAUGACCAAAAUGAAUCCCCCUUGUUAACCUGCCUUUCCAUCCCCUAGUAGCAGAGAGAGUGCAGGGACAGAGGGUUUGUUUAGGUUUGUGCAAGUUAGAAUCUAUGGCCCCGAACAUGGCUCUGAAAUAUCUGAGAGUCGGGGGCCGUAAAGACUUACAGGUAACACUUUAUUUAGCAUUUGUAAGCAGUGUAUAAACAUUUAACUGGUUUAUACCAUGCUAUAAUGUAGUUGUAAGCAGAUAUAAGUGUUUAUUAAUGUAUUUGUCAACAAGGAGAACGCCUCGUGUGGGCACCCAUAAAGUGAGAUGGUGUAUAAACUGAUUAAAUAGUAAAAUGCAGCUGUGAUAUAACAUUUAUUAAAUGUGAAGAGCUGGUGUAACUGCCUCCUGAUAACAAGUUGUACCUAAGCAUCUGUAACGAGCCUUUUUUGGGAUGUCUCUAAAUCAUUUUUAUGCUUUUGAGCUGCAGUAAAAAAAACAAAAAAAAACACGUCUUCUCAUUUCACAUUACGUUUCAGCAAUGGUACAAGCUGUUUCAGAGAAGGGACUGAAUCAUAAGCAGCCUCACUGAACCUGUGUGAUGGAGUGUGAACAAAAGAAGAAAGACAAUAUGAUCAUCCAACCACUGGACGCCUGAACCAUGACACACCCCCAGACACAUACCGAGACCCUCCUGUGGAAGAGCUUGAACUGUGUGACCUGCAUUGCAGAGAAAUAGGCUGGCAGAGUGGCAGGUGUGAAGCUGGUCACCUGUCAAAGCAAGCAGGAUGGAAAGAUAAACAAGGAAAAGAUGACACCAGCAGCAACUGCAGGUUAAACAGAGUGAGAACAGACUGAGAUGUCAUCACCCCGGGCCUUUACACUCUUCAAAUGAGAUAAAAAUAUAAAGUUGAAUGUUUUUAUAAGGUUGUAGGAAAAUAUUUGUUCAGUCUUAUGUUUAGUCUCAUGUUCCAUUCCCGAUUUAUCUGUAUUAUAGAUGUUAUAAUGCCUUCAAAUUCAACAGCAACUUAUUUCCCAACAAAAUGUUGUUUCCAAGCCUUCUCCACACUGACAACAAUAAAUAUCUGGUGGGGAAAUAUUGAA